GAGCAAGCCAACUAAUCUGCUUAACCAAAUGUGUUUCUGAAUAAAUUUGGAAAAAGCUAGCAACAGUGAUGCCGUUUUAUGAGCCUUAAGGCUGUCUGAGGGCAUUAUGGUCCCUCAAAAUGGCCACAAUA